AUGUCCACGAAACCCACUAUGGCUGGCAGCAACUGCGAGACUCGAGUGUUCACGAACGUGCCAGAGGGGUUUGUCAAGCUUCUCGUUUCCAUCACCAAGCUCGCGAUCGGGCCAGCGACUCGCCCGGAGUUCACACUUUAUCAGCACAAGCUCAGUGACGACGUGUCUAUGCACCAAGCUGUGGUGCAAUUCAAGGGAGGACGUUCUGCAUCACGCCACUUCCGUUUUGUGGGAAGGGCCAUGCCUACGGAGAGGCAUGCCAUGCAGAUGGCGGCCCGUGAGGCGAUAGCUCGUCUUCGGGACAUCCUUCCUAUGAUGAAGACUCGUCGCUACCGCUACCUCCCAUGCCAUGUGCCAUAUACCAGUCACUAUGCUUUUGCCUGCCAUCGGGGAGAGCGAGAUGAAGCCAUCGAGAUGGUUGUGGAGUAUCUCAAGGCUCUGGAGGAGUCUUUCGACAACCUCGUGGACGAUCUUGUGGCUGCCCGGAUGGACUUAGUUCGGGGCGGUCCUACCUGCAGGAAGGAGCUUCUUCACACAGCACCGCCUCUGACAUUCGUCUCAUCUUCAGCCUCUUAUGCACCGGCCAUUUUAGCCACUGCUCGUCGUCUGCCUACCACUGAGGAGUUCGACCGAGUCAUCGCUCCUACUCCAGUCAGGGCUGCACCGCCUGCCACGCCCACACUGCCACCGGUCGACCCCGCGCCAACACCGCAGCGCAGUGCUUCGCGCCAGGAGCCUGCUAGAGAGGAGGAGGAGGUGGAAUCUCCUGCACCGCUGAGCCUUGCUCUCGGCAAGGGAAAGGACAUCGUCACCAUCUCCGACUGA
rnacentral:rRNA from 1 species